rnacentral:rRNA from 1 species
GCGGCGUGCUAACACAUGCAAGUCGAACGAACCUUCGGGUUAGUGGCGGACGGGUGAGUAACGCGUGAGAAUCUGCCCUCAGGAGGGGGACAACAGCUGGAAACGGCUGCUAAUACCCCAUAUGCCGCGAGGUGAAAUGAAUUUCGCCUGAGGAUGAGCUCGCGUCUGAUUAGCUAGUUGGUGUAGGUAAUGGCUCACCAAGGCAUCGAUCAGUAGCUGGUCUGAGAGGAUGAUCAGCCACACUGGGACUGAGACACGGCCCAGACUCCCACGGGAGGCAGCAGUGGGGAAUUUUCCGCAAUGGGCGAAAGCCUGACGGAGCAACGCCGCGUGAGGGAUGAAGGCCUCUGGGCUGUAAACCUCUUUUAUCAAGGAAGAAGAUCUGACGGUACUUGAUGAAUAAGCCACGGCUAAUUCCGUGCCAGCAGCCGCGGUAAUACGGGAGUGGCAAGCGUUAUCCGGAAUUAUUGGGCGUAAAGCGUCCGCAGGCGGCCCUUCAAGUCUGCUGUUAAAAAGUGGAGCUUAACUCCAUCAUGGCAGUGGAAACUGUUGGGCUUGAGUGUGGUAGGGGCAGAGGGAAUUCCCGGUGUAGCGGUGAAAUGCGUAGAUAUCGGGAAGAACACCAGUGGCGAAGGCGCUCUGCUGGGC